rnacentral:lncRNA from 1 species
CUAAUGUUCAUUAUAGGAUUAUUCAUAAUAACCAAAAUGUGUAAACCAUCUACUUCUUUACUGAAUAAAUAUACACACAAUGGAAUAUUAUGCAACCUUAAAAAAUUCUUGGCAUUUGAGACAACAUAGAUAUUCCUGAAAGACAUUGUGAAAAAAAAAUGUUCCUGUGGCCAAAAUUUUGAAAACUUCUACUUCAGAGCUACCUUAUACUGUAUGUAUUAGUCUGCUUUCCUGUCACUGGGAUAAAGUACCUGACACCAACAAUUUCAAGAGGGAGAUGUUUAUUUUGACUCAGUUUCCAUGGAUGCAGUUCAUGUCUGGUUGGUUCUGAGGCAACAAUGCCAUGGCGGAAGAGCAUGGCAGAGGAAAGCUCUUUACCGAACGGAAGCCAGGAAACAAGGAGAAGGGAAGAGCAAAGGGUAAGCAUACAUCCUUCCAAGUUCAAUGAAAAUAUCAGAUGUCAUAUUUUCUAUGAAAAACUUCAAUUCCAGCCAAUGACACAAUUUAUAUUCAAAUAAAAUAUUAUGAG